GACAGAGGUGCCAAGCGUUAGGCGGAAUCACUGGGCUUAAAGCGUGUGUAGGCGGAUGUCUAAGUACCUUGUGAAAUCCCACGGCUCAACCGUGGAACUGCUUGGUAUACUGGAUGUCUUGAGCCAUCUAGGGGCUACCGGAACAAAUGGUGGAGCGGUGAAAUGCGUAGAUAUCAUUUGGAACGCCAAUGGUGAAAACAGGUAGCUGGGGAUGUGCUGACGCUGAGACGCGAAAGCGUGGGGAGCGAACAGG
rnacentral:rRNA from 1 species